rnacentral:rRNA from 1 species
GCUUAUCGGGCCCAAGAGUUCACAUCGACGGCCCGGUUUGGCACCUCGAUGUCGGCUCGUCGCAUCCUGGGGCUGGAGUCGGUCCCAAGGGUUGGGCUGUUCGCCCAUUAAAGCGGUACGCGAGCUGGGUUUAGAACGUCGUGAGACAGUUCGGUCCCUAUCCGCCGUGGGCGUAGGAGACUUGAGGAGAGUUGACCCUAGUACGAGAGGACCGGGUUGAACGGCCCGCUAGUGUACCGGUUGUCACGCCAGUGGCAGCGCCGGGUAGCCAUGGCCGGUUUGGAUAAGCGCUGAAAGCAUCUAAGUGCGAAGCCAACUCCAAGAUAAGGUCUCCCACCGGGUUAACCGGGUAAGGGCCCUGGUAGACAACCAGGUUGAUAGGCCGGAGGUGUAAGAGAAGUAAUUCUUUGAGCUGACCGGUACUAAUAGCCCGAGGGCUUGUUCACCUAUAACUCACUCU